CCGGACUCUCCAGAAACCUCCCUGCUGGGAAAGACAGGGCGGGGGCAGGGGUGGGGGGCCAUCCAAAGGAAGGAGGCUGAGGACUCAUGACCAUCGAGCUUUGACGGUUCCAGGCCAGCAAGCAGAGACGAGAGACAGCUUGUAAGGGACAGGGUUGGGACACUGGAGGACACCAGAAUGUGGUCUGCAUGGCAGAGGACAGACUAUCGUGGGUGUCCUUGCUUUGGAGAAGCAUGCAGCCGUGCUAGGGCAACGGGUCAGGAAGCUGCAGGUCACUUCACCACGGAAAAGUGGGUGUGGACCUGCGUGUGGAUACCCGUGCACCUGCGUGUGUGUACACGGUUAUGUGUAUGGAUGUGCUCGAACACGGAAGCUCUCACGAAUGGGUAUGCGUGUCCGUGGACACCGACGUGGACGGGAGAGGACAGCAUGCCUGGGAAGACCGUGGCGGAUGUUACCGAGUGCUGAAUCGACGUGAAGGACGUAUGUGAGCGAACCCUGCACCAUCCUUCGACUUUCCUGCAGGUUUGAGAUGUCCUGAAAAGAAGAGUUGGUAGGAAAGCAGAGAUUUCUUUCCAAGGUCCUCUUGGAACGCUCCUCCACGAGCUUUAUCUCCGGAAACACAGGUGACUCAGUGGAGGGUGGCGAGAACUGCUUUCCAGGCACCGAUCCACGUCCCCAGGGCCCGCGUGGGUGUUAUUCCUGCCGAGCCUCCAAAACCCCCUGGCAGGUGGCCAAGCGGGGUGGGGAGAGGCACGUGGCCUCCCCGUCUUCCACUGACUGGAGGGCGCAGGGGAGGUGCCACGGCCAGCCCAGCAAGGUUCACCAAUUUCUCCUAGUGGACGCUGUAACCGAAGCUCACUUCACACAAAACAGAAGACGUGAAGUGCUCUCUCAGACUAGAAUUUUAGACUCCACGGAACCAUCUGACAUCCACCCGAAAGCAAAGCAGAUAUUUUUGCAGACUCUGAGAACUCCUUUAAGAACCAAGGGGUCCUCUCCUUUGUGCUUCUUUUUUAAGACUGUCUUGGCUAUUCCGGGUGCCUGAAAUUCCGUAUGAAUUUUAGGAUCGGCUUGCCACUUCCCACAAAGGCAUCAGCGGGCCCCUGGGAGGGGCGGGGGCUCUGUGUGUUGUCCUGGGGAGGGGUGCUGUCCUGACAAUGCUACAUCUUCUGAUUCGUGAACACAUGAUGCUUUUCCAUUUGUUUAGAUCUUCCUUAAUUUCUCUCCACAUUGCUUUUUAGUUUUCAGAGUAUAAAUUUUACACUUCUUUUGUUAAAUGUAUUCCUAGGCAUUUCAUUCUUUUUGAUGCUUUUCUAAAUGGAUUUUUACCCCUUUAUUUCAUUUUUGGUUGUUCAUUGAAAGUUUGUAGAAAUUCAAUUGAUGUUUUUUUAUAUUGGUCUUGUAUCCUGCAACCUUGCUGAACUGACUUAUUAGCUUUAAUAGAUCUUUGUGGAUGCGUUGGGACUUUGUAUACAUAAGACCACAUCCUCUGUGAACAGAGGUCAGUGUGGAGUAGAGGUGGUGAGAGGAGACGUCCUGUCUUGUUCUCGAUCUUGGGGAAUAGCCAGCCUUUCACCAGUAAGUACAACAUUACAUAUGGGUUUUUAGGAGAUGCCUUUUAUCGGGUUGAGGACGUUCUCUUCUUUUCCCAGUUUAUUGAAUGUUUUCACCACGAAAAGGUGUUGAAUUUUGUCAAACGCCUUUUCUGUGUCUAUUGAGAUGAUCCUGCGAUUUUCAUUUUUUAUUCUAUUGAUAUGAUGUAUUAUAUUAAUUUUCAGACAUUAAACCAACCUUGCAUUCCUGGGACAAAACCUAUUUGGUGAAGGGGCCGGCCUGGUGGCAUAGCGGUUAAGUUCACACACUCUGCUUCAGCGGCCCAGGGUUCACCGGUUCGGAUCCCAGGUGCAGACGCACACACCACUUGUCAGGCCAUGCUGUGGAAUCUGUCCAUUCCGUGUAAGUCGUCUGGCUUGUGGACCUACAAUUGUUCAUAGUAUUGUGUCAGAACUCUGUGUAGGGUUGGGGCGAAGCUGGAGGACCCACACCCCAAUUUCAAAACUUACCACAAAGACACAGUAACCAAGACAGUGCGGUGCUGGCACAAGGGCAGUCUAUAGAUCAGUGGAACAGAAUCGAGGGUCCUGAAGUAAAUUCAUGCAUCUGUGGUCAACCUGACUUUUGACAAGGAUGCCAAAACCAUUCGCUGGGGAAAGAACAGUCUUUCCAACCGAUGGUGCCCAGACAACCGGACAGCCACAGGCAAAAGAAGGAAGUUGACCCUCACUUCACACCAUAUGUAAAACUAAUAUAAAUGAAUCAAAGACUUAAAUGUAAGAGCUAAAACCAUAAAAUUCUUCAGAAUAAAUAAUAGGAAUAAAACAUAGGAAUAAAUCUUCAUGACCUUGAAUUUGGCAAAGAAUUCUCAGCUAUGAUACCAAAAGCCUGAGCAACAAGAGAAAAAAUAGACAAAUUGGACUUGAUCAUAACUGAAAACCCUUGUACUUCAAAGGACACGAUCAAGAAAGUGAAAAGACAACCCACAGAAUGAAGAAAAUAUUUGUAAAUCACAUGUCAGAUAAGAGACUUGUAUCUAGAAUAUACAGAGAACUCCUACAACCCAACAAUAACAAGACAAAUAAUCCAAUUAAAAAGUGGGCAAAGAAUCUGAACAGACAUUUUGCCAAGGAAAAUAUACAAAUGGGCAACAAGUACAUGGAAGGAUGCUCAAAUCAGUCCUCAGGAAAACACAAGUGAAAACCACAAUGAGAUACACUUCACACCCACUAGGAUGGCCGGAAUCAAAAAGUCAGAUAACGGCAAGUGACGGCCAGAACACAGAGAAACCGGAAGCCUCACCCACUGCUGGAAGGAGUGUCAAAUGGUGCCGCCAUUUGGAAAACAGCCUGGCAGCUCCUCAAAUGAUUAAACAUAGCUCCUAGGUCCCAGAAAUCCACUCUAGAUGUGCACUCAAGAGAAACGGACACAGGUCCACACAAACACUUGUGCACGAAUGUUGACAGCAGCAAGAUUGACAACCGCCAACAGGAGGAAACAAGAAAACUGUCUGUCAGCUGCUGAAUGGAUAAACAAAAGGGGGUCCACCAUAUAAGGGAACAUUCUGCAGCCAUGAAAAGGAAGGAAGUUCUGACACACGCUGCAACAUGGACAGACCUGAAAACAUUAUGCUAAGUGAUGAGUAAAGCAGGUCACAAAAGGCCACAUACUGUGUGACACCACCUACAGGAAAUAUCCAGAAUAGGGAAAUUCCUAGAAAGUAGGUGGGUGGCUGUUUAGGGCUGAGGGAAGGGGGAUGGAGAUGGGCAGAGACGAUAAAGAGUCUCCUUUUGAAGUGAUGACAGUGUCCUGAAAUUGACCGUGAUGAUGGUUGCACAUAUCUUUGAAUAAAAGACCACUGACUCGUACACUAAAGUCAGUGAAUUGCACGGCAUGUAAAUUAUAUCUCAAUAAAGCUGC
ensembl:lncRNA